AGACACUCGCGAAGCUACCAUCUGUGGGAUUAUGACUGAACGCCUCUAAGUCAGAAUCCCGCCUAAACAUAACGAUACCGCAGCGCCGCGGAACUCCGGUUGGCCAGGGAUAGCCGGCCGCAAGGCCGGCGAGGAGCGCCGCUCAUCACUGGGUCGGAGCGCGGACGGAAGGGGGCCGCCUCUCUCCAGCAGUGCACCGCACGUUCGUGGGGAACCGGGUGCUAAAUCAUUCGUAGACGACCUGAUUCUGGGUCAGGGUUUCGUACGUAGCAGAGCAGCAAAAAGCUGCGAUCUAUUGAAAGUCGGCCCUCGAGCCAAGCUUUUGU